GACGAACCGUACGAACGUUAUUCGGAAUCACUGGGCUUAAAGGGUGCGUAGGCGGCGCGACAAGUUGGGUGUGAAAUCCCUCGGCUCAACCGAGGAACUGCGCCCAAAACUGUCGUGCUCGAGGGAGACAGAGGUGAGCGGAACUUAGGGUGGAGCGGUGAAAUGCGUUGAUAUCCUAAGGAACACCGGUGGCGAAGGCGGCUCACUGGGGGUCUUCUGACGCUGAGGAACGAAAGCCAGGGGAGCGAACGGG
rnacentral:rRNA from 1 species